rnacentral:lncRNA from 1 species
AGACUGGCUGCCCCCGAGGGUUCGCGUGAGCGGAGCACGGGGCUCGGGGUGCGGGGGGCUGGUGUGAUGGACGCAUUUGUUCUUCGGUCCCUGACGAUUGUUUCUCAUUUGCCCUCCAAGCCCCAAAUCCUGUCAGUCCACGGCCUUGAUGGAGCGGCCCCCGUGGGACGACCCUGUUGAUUGUGCUAGCGGAUGUUGUCUCCAUUCUGGAUCUGGGAAAAACUGUGGAGUGAAAGCCGGACCUGUUAGGGUUGGGACCUGAAAGCGGACUUUUUCGCUCUCAGACGGGCCCCAGGAAUUUCAUGUUUAACAGAGGUGUCUUCAAGGAGAUGAAACAAUUCAGAAUGACCUAGGCAAUGGGGUAAUUCCUAAGGCUCACCAGGAGAAAAUGAAUCCAAAUUAAGGGACAUUCUACAGAAUACCUGACCAACACUCCCUCCUAAAAACUGUCAAGGUCAUCAAGGAAUGUCUAGGAAGAAGGAAAGUCUGAGAAGUUGUCUCAGCCCAGAGGAGCCUUAAGAAGCCAUGACAGGUAGGGCGCGGUGGCUCACGCCUGUAAUCCCAGCACUUUGGGAGGUCGAGGUGGGCGGAUCACAAGGUCAGGAGAUUGAGACUAUCCUGGCUAACAUGGUUAAACCCCAUCUCUACUAAAAAUACAAAAAAAAUUAGCCACACGUGGUGGCGGGCACCUAUAAUCCCAGCUACUCAGGAGGCUGAGGCAGGAGAAUCGCUUGAACCUGGGAGGCGGAGGCUGCAGCGAGCCAAGAUCGCACCACUGCACUCUAGCCUGGGCAACAGAGCUAGACUCCAGCUUAAAAAAAAAAAAAAGAAGCCAUGACAACUAAAUGGACUGUGAUAUCCUGAACGGGAUACUGGAACAGAAAAAGGGUAUUAAUAAAUCUGAUCAAAGCAGAGAGCUCAGUUAAUAAAAAUGUGUCACUAUUGUUUCCUCAUUUGUUGUAACAAAUGGUGCCAUACUAAUGUAAGAUAUUAAUAAUAGGGGAAACUGGAUGCAGGAUGUGUGGGAACUCUGUACUAUCUUUGCACUUUUCUGUAAAGCCAACACUAUUUUUAUUUAUUUAUUUUUGAGACAGGGUCUCCAUCUGCCUCCCAGGCUGGAGUACAGCGGUGCCAUCACAGCUCACUGCAUCCACGACCUCCUGAGCUCAAUAGAUCUUCCAGCCUCAGCCUACUGAGUAGGUGGGACUACAGAAGUGCAUCACCAUGCCCGGCUAAUUUUUGUAUUUUUGGUAGAGAUGGGGUUUCGCCAUGUUGCCCAGGCUGGUCUCGAACUCCUGGGCUCAAACAAUGUACCCACCUCGGCCUCCCAAAGUGCUAGAAUUACUAACACUUUUGUAAAGUAAAAAGUUUAAAACAAAAAAUAAGAUUGGUAGAUGGAUAGAGGGUUG